rnacentral:rRNA from 1 species
CCUACGGGUGGCUGCAGUCGAGAAUCAUUCACAAUGGGGGAAACCCUGAUGCUGCGACGCCGCGUGGGGGAAUGAAGGUCUUCGGAUUGUAAACCCCUGUCAUGUGGGAGCAAAUUAAAAAGAUAGUACCACAAGAGGAAGAGACGGCUAACGCUGUGCCAGCAGCCGCGGUCAUACAGAGGGCUCAAGCGUUGUUCGGAAUCACUGGGCGUAAAGCGUGCGUAGGCUGUUUCGUAAGUCGUGUGUGAAAGGCGCGGGAUCAACCCGCGGAGGGCACUUGAUACUGCCAGACUAGAGUAGGGGAGGAGGAACCGGAAUGCUCGGUGUAGCAGUGAAAUGCAUAGAUAUCGAGAAGAACAC